GCCAAGGAGAGUUUGAUCCUGGCUCAGGAUGAACGCUGGCGGCGUGCCUAACACAUGCAAGUCGGACGGGAUUGCGCGUACCGAGGAGGAAAGCUUGCUGGAAUCCGAGGUAUGUGUAAUUUAGUGGCGGACGGGUGAGUAACGCGUGAGGACCUGUCCAUCGGAGGGGGACAACAGCUGGAAACGGCUGCUAAUA
rnacentral:rRNA from 1 species